UUGAGCAACGAAACCGAGACUAGUGAACCAUUGUUUAGAAGAGAAACAGCGAGCCAAGGGCCACUACUGCGGCGAUCACCGGACGGGAGACCAAGGCUUCAGCGCUGCUCUCCGGAGCCGAGUCCGGCGACGUCGGACUUGGCGCAGACGCGGGCACUGCAGUAGACGGCGGUGGAAUCACCGGAGCGAUUGAUGGUGUGAUCGUUGGUGCCGGUGCUGGAGAUGAAAUCAUCGGAGCGGGGGCAGGAGAAGGAGAAGGGAUCAUUGGAGAUCCGGCGGGCGAUGAAUGAGAGAAGGAAGUACCGACGAUCAUGGAGAUCAGCAGAGCGACGAUGAUCCGAUUUGCCAUUGUUGCUGUGUUUUUGGGUAAAGAGGUCCUUGGGUUCAAUCAGUUUUCACAUUCAAUUCCCACACUUUGGACUUCUUGGAUUCCAUCCCUUACCCCUCAACACUGAAUCCUCUGGGAUCUAAUCUCCCGUGCAAUCUUGUGGAAUAUCUGGAUUGAACGAAACUCUCCUGAUUGUCAGCAGCCAGCUAUUACUGAAGCUUUUCAGAAAAUUAAACGUUCCCUUAAUUUCUUUAGCGCUAGAACCUCAAAUCUCGCGGGAGAGUCAGACCCUGAUCAUGUGCAGGAGUAGUUGCUCCUUUUGAUGGUUUGGGCAGGUCUGAGGGACCAGACGGUGUCUUUCGCCUUCCCAGCUUCUUUUCUUCUUGUAUUUUAUUUUCCUGUCAUUCUUAGUUAUUCUCCUCACUUAUGGUGAGAGCUUUUAUCUUAU